rnacentral:rRNA from 1 species
CCUACGGGAGGCAGCAGUGGGGAAUAUUGGACAAUGGGGGCAACCCUGAUCCAGCGAUGCCGCGUGAGUGAAGAAGGCCUUUGGGUUGUAAAACUCUUUCACCUGUGAAGAUAAUGACGGUAGCAGGAGAAGAAGCACCGGCAAACUCUGUGCCAGCAGCCGCGGUAAGACAGAGGGUGCUAGCGUUGUUCGGAAUGACUGGGCGUAAAGGGCGCGUAGGCGGUUUUUCAAGUCAGAUGUGAAAGCCCCGGGCUUAACCUGGGAACUGCAUUUGAUACUGGAUGACUAGAGUGCGAGAGAGGAAAGUGGAAUUCCUAGUGUAGAGGUGAAAUUCGUAGAUAUUAGGAGGAACACCAGAGGCGAAGGCGGCUUUCUGGCUCGCAACUGACGCUGAGGCGCGAAAGCGUGGGGAGCAAACAGGAUUAGAUACCCUGGUAGUCCACGCCGUAAACGAUGAGUGCUAGACGUCGGGCGUUUAACGUUCGGUGUCGCAGCUAACGCAUUAAGCACUCCGCCUGGGGAGUACGGUCGCAAGAUUAAAACUCAAAGGAAUUGACGG